CACGUAGGGCGCAAGCGUUGUCCGGAAUUAUUGGGCGUAAAGAGCUCGUAGGCGGUCUGUUGCGUCCGCUGUGAAAACUCGGGGCUUAACCCCGAGCCUGCAGUGGAUACGGGCAGACUAGAGGUAGGUAGGGGAGAUGGAAUUCCCGUGUGAGCGGUGAAAUGCGCGAUAUCGGGAGGAACACCGGUGGCGAAGGCGGCAUCCUGGACCAAUAUUGACGCUGAGGAGCGAAAGCCAGGGGAGCAAAGCGGG
rnacentral:rRNA from 1 species